CCCUGUUAGGUACAGCAAUCACUUGGAGUAGUAUGCCAUCAUUUUGUGUGCCACCCUGUUAGGUACAGCAAUCACUUGGAGUAUUAUGCCAUCAUUUUGUGUGCCACCCUGUUAGGUACAGCAAUCACUUGGAGUAUUAUGCCAUCAUUUUGUAUGCCACCCUGUUAGGUACAGCAAUCACUUGGAGUAGUAUGCCAUCAUUUUGUGUGCCACCCUGUUAGGUACAGCAAUCACUUGGAGUAUUAUGCCAUCAUUUUGUGUGCCACCCUGUUAGGUACAGCAAUCACUUGGAGUAGUAUGCCAUCAUUUUGUAUGCCACCCUGUUAGGUACAGCAAUCACUUGGAGUAGUAUGCCAUCAUUUUGUGUGCCACCCUGUUAGGUACAGCAAUCACUUGGAGUAGUAUGCCAUCAUUUUGUGUGCCACCCUGUUAGGUACAGCAAUCACUUGGAGUAGUAUGCCAUCAUUUUGUGUGCCACCCUGUUAGGUACAGCAAUCACUUGGAGUAGUAUGCCAUCAUUUUGUGUGCCACCCUGUUAGGUACAGCAAUCACUUGGAGUAGUAUGCCAUCAUUUUGUGUGCCACCCUGUUAGGUACAGCAAUCACUUGGAGUAGUAUGCCAUCAUUUUGUAUGCCACCCUGUUAGGUACAGCAAUCACUUGGAGUAGUAUGCCAUCAUUUUGUAUGCCACCCUGUUAGGUACAGCAAUCACUUGGAGUAUUAUGCCAUCAUUUUGUGUGCCACCCUGUUAGGUACAGCAAUCACUUGGAGUAUUAUGCCAUCAUUUUGUAUGCCACCCUGUUAGGUACAGCAAUCACUUGGAGUAGUAUGCCAUCAUUUUGUAUGCCACCCUGUUAGGUACAGCAAUCACU